rnacentral:rRNA from 1 species
CUACGCUCGUCUCAAAGAUUAAGCCAUGCAUGUGUAAGUAUAAAUGAUUUUACUUUGAUACUGCGUAUGGCUCAUUAUAUCAGUUAUAGUUUAUUAGGAAUACUUUACUGCUUGGAUAACCGUAGUGAUUCUAGGGCUAAUACAUGAAUAUAUCCUCUACUUCGGUAGAGGUGUGUUUAUUAGUAUGGGGGCCAUAUAUCUUCGGAUAUGUUGGUGAGUGAUGAUGACCUUUCAUAUCGUGUGUCGUGGGAUGACGAUGGUUCUUUCGGGUUUCUGCCCUUCAGC